GAUGAACGCUGGCGGCGUGCUUAACACAUGCAAGUCGAACGAUAAAGCCCAGCUUGCUGGGUGGAUUAGUGGCGAACGGGUGAGUAACACGUGAGUAACCUGCCCUUGGCUCUGGGAUAAGCCCGGGAAACUGGGUCUAAUACCGGAUAGGAGCGCCUGUCGCAUGACGGGUGUUGGAAAGAUUUUUCGGUCAUGGAUGGACUCGCGGCCUAUCAGCUUGUUGGUGAGGUAAUGGCUCACCAAGGCGACGACGGGUAGCCGGCCUGAGAGGGUGACCGGCCACACUGGGACUGAGACACGGCCCAGACUCCUACGGGAGGCAGCAGUGGGGAAUAUUGCACAAUGGGCGGAAGCCUGAUGCAGCGACGCCGCGUGAGGGAUGACGGCCUUCGGGUUGUAAACCUCUUUCAGUAGGGAAGAAGCGAAAGUGACGUACCUGCA
rnacentral:rRNA from 1 species